GAAUUUUGGGCAAUGGGCGAAAGCCUGACCCAGCAACGCCGCGUGAAGGAUGAAAUCCCUCGGGAUGUAAACUUCGCAAGAACAGGAAGAAUAAGUAAGGGUUAAUAUCUCUUAUGAUGACGGUACUGUUUGUAAGCUCCGGCUAACUCCGUGCCAGCAGCCGCGGUAAUACGGAGGGGGCUAGCGUUGUUCGGAAUUACUGGGCGUAAAGGGCGCGCAGGCGGCUGCUCAAGGCAGGCGUGAAAGGCCUGGGCUCAACCCGGGAACUGCGCUUGAGACUGGGCUGGCUUGAGUGCGGGAGAGGAUGGUGGAAUUCCCAGUGUAGAGGUGAAAUUCGUAGAUAUUGGGAAGAACACCGGUGGCGAAGGCGGCCAUCUGGACCGCAACUGACGCUGAGGCGCGAAAGCGUGGGGAGCAAACAGG
rnacentral:rRNA from 1 species